AAGUCGUAACAAGGUCUCCGUUGGUGAACCAGCGGAGGGAUCAUUACUGAGUUAUUAAAACUCCAAACCCUUUGUGAACCUUACUGUCGUUGCCUCGGCGUGAGCUACGGCUACCCUGUAGUUACCCUAUAGCUACCCUGCAGCUACCCUAUAGUUGACCAGUAGCUACCCUGUAGUUACCCUAUAGCUACCCUGCAGCUACCCUAUAGUUGACAUGUAGCUACCCUGUAGCCGACUUAUGGCCCGCCGAAGGACCGCUAAACUCUUGUUUUUUACCACUGUUUCUCUGAAUUGUAAACUUAAAUAAGUUAAAACUUUCAACAACGGAUCUCUUGGUUCUG
rnacentral:misc_RNA from 1 species